CUGCGCCAGCCCUUGUUGUAGAAGGCGCUCCCCCGCCUCAGAGCCGCCCAGGAGUGAGGUCUCCGGCCGGCGCGCCUUGGGGAAGGGAGUGCCCAGGCCUUGGUACGCCUUGGAUAAGGGUGCCAAUGCCUCACCUAGGACUCCCCGGAUGGUGCGUGGGCGACUUAAACAGCAAGAGAAAAGCGGCAACUCCCCCAUUUACCAGGGACCCUUCCCAGGGGCUCCCCGCACUGUUUUCAACACCCUCAUCAGGGAGGGGGGAGAGAGAACCCUCCCUCAUGCCCAAGGCUGCCGGGGGUUUGAGGGAUGGACAGCACAGUAUUUACCAGCUGGAGUCACGAUGCGGGAGGUGGAGAGGAGGGUCGGGGCGGGGUGGGGAUAGGGGAAGAUCGGGACGCGUCCUCCUGGGCCCCGAGCGGUGGCUAGGAUACGAGCGGUGGUCGAGGUCUGGCGUCCAGUGGGCUGGGCUCAGCUGGGUCCGCGCGGCUCCGGGAGACUAGCUCGCUCCGGCUUCAGCACGCUGGACAGCGCCCGCGCCGCUGCCGCCUUAUAAAGAGGAAAUCAGGGGUCACGUGGGAUGGCCCCGCCCAAUUGACGUCAAUGUUCAUUCAUGGGGACGCGGGCGGGCGCCUAGAGGCGGGAGGACGCCCAGCGAUUGGAGGAUGCAUGCCUCUCUCGGCCUGCGCCUGCGCACUGUAGGCUUCGGUUGGAGGGGCGUGCGCUAGCCUAGCACCAGGGAAAUGAAUGAAUGAAGGAACGAAUGAAUGAAAUGCUGAGGCGGGCGGGGCAGGGGGGCUUUGAAUGAAUGAAGGAGGGACGAGGAGAAAAGGAUGAAUGAAUGAAUGGCAGAAUGAAUGGAAGGGUGGAUGCAGAGACGCUGCAAGGCGGGAGGAUGGGUUACAGAGCAACUUGCAGCCGCGCGGGAGCCCCCUGAGCAGAAUAGGGUGGGGGCACUUCCCUCGUCGGACUGGGCCUCAGUAGGAGCUCCAUACUGGGAAGGGGGAAGAUAAGGAUUCCAAAGCUGAGGAGGGGGCCACACUCCCCAUUCUCUGACUGCACGGUCCGUGGGGAACACGCCCAAGGACGGCGUGAACCUGAGAGAGGAGGGACAGUUCUGUGCGCCUGCGGGCACUGUCCGCGGAUCUGCGAUGCGGGGUGCGGGCUCUGGGCUGGGGCACUUGGGUGGAUCAUGCGGUUUGGGUAAUCCAGUCGGAAAGGGUCGGAGUCGGAAGAGAAAGGGAAAAGAUUGAUGAUGUGUGUGCCUCUGUGUCGUGUCUGUUCAUGGUCGGUGCGUGUCUGAAGAAAAAGGUGUGUCUGUCCUUCUGUCCAGCUGGCUCUGUAGUGUAGGUUGGUGCUCCCGCUGUACCCCUUUUCAGACCACCUCUCCCACCACCCUCCUGCUUCUCCCCCUCCCGCUGCUACUCCCCAAAGGACAUUUGGAGGACGAAAGCAGACCAGGUGGGGAGGGGGUUGCGCAGGUGUGUGUGUGGGGUGACUCAACUUCAUCUCUCUCCACUGCUUAAAGAGAAGGUUUGAAUGCGUUGCGGAGGAUGGAGGGUGGGAGUGAAACGUCAGAGAUCGCCUAUCUCUGCCACCAGACCCCUGGGCCGCAUCUUCUGCCAGAGGGGUUGGGGUUGGGGGCUUG
ensembl:lncRNA